GAUGAACGCUGGCGGCGUGCCUAAUACAUGCAAGUCGAGCGAACGGACGAGAAGCUUGCUUCUCUGAUGUUAGCGGCGGACGGGUGAGUAACACGUGGAUAACCUACCUAUAAGACUGGGAUAACUUCGGGAAACCGGAGCUAACACCGGAUAAUAUUUUGAACCGGAUGGUUCAAAAGUGAAAGACGGUCUUGCUGUCACUUAUAGAUGGAUCCGCGCUGCAUUAGCUAGUUGGUAAGGUAACGGCUUACCAAGGCAACGAUGCAUAGCCGACCUGAGAGGGUGAUCGGCCACACUGGAACUGAGACACGGUCCAGACUCCUACGGGGGGCAGCAGUAGGGAAUCUUCCGCAAUGGGCGAAAGCCUGACGGAGCAACGCCGCGUGAGUGAUGAAGGUCUUCGGAUCGUAAAACUCUGUUAUUAGGGAAGAACAUAUGUGUAAGUAACUGUGCACAUCUUGACGGUACCUAAUCAGAAAGCCACGGCUAACUACGUG
rnacentral:rRNA from 1 species